rnacentral:tRNA from 1 species
GGAGAGGUGGCAGAGUCUGGUUUAAUGCACCGGUCUCGAAAACCGGCAGACCUUUUGGUCUCAGGGGUUCAAAUCCCCUCCUCUCCG